rnacentral:rRNA from 1 species
UACCAGCACCCCGAGUGGUCGGGACGAUUAUUGGGCCUAAAGCAUCCGUAGCCGGUUCCACAAGUCUUCCGUUAAAUCCACCUGCUUAACAGAUGGGCUGCGGAGGAUACUAUAGAGCUAGGAGGCGGGAGAGGCAAGCGGUACUUAGUGGGUAGGGGUAAAAUCCGUUGAUCCAUUGAAGACCACCAGUGGCGAAGGCGGCUUGCCAGAACGCACUCGACGGUGAGGGAUGAAAGCUGGGGGAGCAAACCGG